rnacentral:rRNA from 1 species
AGCAUGCAAGUCGAGCGGGCUUAUUCGGGCAACUGGAUAAGUUAGCGGCGAACUGGUGAGUAACACGUAGGUAAUCUGCCGUAGAGUGGGGGAUAACCCAUGGAAACAUGGACUAAUACCGCAUAUACUCUUGCUACAUAAGUAGAGUAGAGGAAAGGAGCAAUCCGCUUUACGAUGAGCCUGCGGCCUAUUAGCCUGUUGGUGGGGUAACGGCCUACCAAAGCUACGAUAGGUAGCCGACCUGAGAGGGUGACCGGCCACAUUGGGACUGAGAUACGGCCCAGACUCCUACGGGAGGCAGCAGCUGAGAAUCUUCCACAAUGGACGAAAGUCUGAUGGAGCGACAUCGCGUGAGGGAUGAAGGCCUUCGGGUUGUAAACCUCGGAAAUUAUCGAAGAAUGAGUGACAGUAGAUAAUGUAAGCCUCGGCUAACUACG